rnacentral:lncRNA from 1 species
UGUGAGAUCUUCAGGGCGUUUAACCCUUGUUUGGCUACAGUGGGCCAAAUAAAAUUCUCAAAGGAUAUGCCCUAGUUGGUUACAGUGGAUCAUGAUGGCUACAGUGGGCCGUAUUGACAACAAUGGUUGAGACGGCUACUAUGGGCUAGGAUGGUUAUAGUGGGCCAUGAUGACUACAAUGGGCCAUAUUGACUGCAGUAGA